CAGUAGCCGCGGUAAUACGGAGGGUGCAAGCGUUAAUCGGAAUUACUGGGCGUAAAGCGCACGCAGGCGGUUUGUUAAGUCAGAUGUGAAAUCCCCGAGCUUAACUUGGGACCUGCAUUUGUGACUGUAUAGCUAGAGUACGGUAGAGGGGGAUGGAAUUCCGCGUGUAGCAGUGAAAUGCGUAGAUAUGCGGAGGAACACCGAUGGCGAAGGCAAUCCCCUGGACCUGUACUGACGCUCAUGCACGAAAGCGUGGGGAGCAAACAGGAUUAGAUACCCCAGUAGUCCCUGUCUCUUAUAC
rnacentral:rRNA from 1 species